GUAAAUAUAGUUUAACUAAAACAUUAAAAUUGUGAUUCUAAAGACAGAAGGUUAAAAUCCUCUUAUUCACC
rnacentral:tRNA from 1 species